rnacentral:rRNA from 1 species
GACGAACGCUGGCGGCGUGCUUAACACAUGCAAGUCGAACGGAGAGGCCCUGCUUUUGUGGGGUGCUCGAGUGGCGAACGGGUGAGUAACACGUGAGUAACCUGCCCUUGACUUUGGGAUAACUUCAGGAAACUGGGGCUAAUACCGGAUAGGAGCUCCUGCUGCAUGGUGGGGGUUGGAAAGUUUCGGCGGUUGGGGAUGGACUCGCGGCUUAUCAGCUUGUUGGUGGGGUAGUGGCUUACCAAGGCUUUGACGGGUAGCCGGCUUGAGAGGGUGACCGGCCACAUUGGGACUGAGAUACGGCCCAGACUCCUACGGGAGGCAGCAGUGGGGAAUAUUGCACAAUGGGCGGAAGCCUGAUGCAGCAACGCCGCGUGCGGGAUGACGGCCUUCGGGUUGUAAACCGCUUUCGCCUGUGACGAAGCGUGAGUGACGGUAAUGGGUAAAGAAGCACCGGCUAACUACGUG